AUUGAACGCUGGCGGCAUGCCUUACACAUGCAAGUCGAACGGCAGCACGGGUGCUUGCACCUGGUGGCGAGUGGCGAACGGGUGAGUAAUACAUCGGAACGUACCUUAUCGUGGGGGAUAACGCAGCGAAAGCUGUGCUAAUACCGCAUACGCCCUGAGGGGGAAAGCGGGGGAUCGAAAGACCUCGCGCGAUUAGAGCGGCCGAUGCCUGAUUAGCUUGUUGGUGGGGUAAAAGCCCACCAAGGCGACGAUCAGUAGCUGGUCUGAGAGGACGAUCAGGCACACUGGGACUGAGACACGGCCCAGACUCCUACGGGGGGCAGCAGUGGGGAAUUUUGGACAAUGGGGGCAACCCUGAUCCAGCAAUGCCGCGUGAGUGAAGAAGGCCUUCGGGUUGUAAAGCUCUUUUGUCAGGGAAGAAACACCGGCUCUAACACAGUCCGGGAAUGACGGUACCUGAAGAAUAAGCACCGGCUAACUACGUGCCAGCCGCCGCCGUAA
rnacentral:rRNA from 1 species